rnacentral:rRNA from 1 species
CCCGCUGAACUUAAGCAUAUCAAUAAGCGGAGGAAAAGAGACCAACAGGGAUUGCCUCAGUAACGGCGAGUGAAGCGGCAACAGCUCAAAUUUGAAAUCUGGCCCUCCGGGUCCGAGUUGUAAUUUGCAGAGGAUGCUUUUGGCGAGAUGUCUUCCUAGUUCCCUGGAACCGGACGGCCUUAAAGGGGAGAACUCCCUCUGGUUAGACACCGUCCCUCUCUUGAGAUCCUUCGACGAGUCGAGUAGUUUGGGAAUGCAGCUCAAAAUGGGAGGUAUAUGUCUUCUAAAGCUAAAUAUUGGCCAGAGACCGAUAGCGCACAAGUAGAGUGAUCGAAAGAUGAAAAGCACUUUGAAUAGAGGGUUAAAUAGUAUGUGAAAUUGUUGAUAGGGAAGCGCUGCUUACCAGACUGGUUCAUGGGGAUUCAUCCUCGUUUCUCGUCUGGUGUAUUCCGCUGUGCUCAGGCCAGCAUCAGGUUAGUUGAGAGGGAUAAAGGCUUUGGGAAUGUAGUGCUCCUCCGGGAGUGUCUAUAUCCCAUUCGCGCGAUAUAUCCUUGCGGCGGGGGAUGAUGAGCGCACUUAUGCUAGGAUGCUGGCGUAAUGGUUAUCAGCGACCCGUCUUGAAACACGG